UGACAGCAAAAUAUAUGAUAUAGGUAAC
rnacentral:sRNA from 1 species